UGGAAAACUGGAAUUUGAACCUAGACCUGUCUGACUCCAAAGCUCACAUUCUUUCACCUACUCCUUUCGCAGAUGGCAGGACCCCCAGCAGCUCUAAAUGUCUUCAAAAGACAGAGGCAGCUGGAGGAUGGAAGUGGGUGCUGGCCCCAUAGAAUACAUAUGUCAGGGUGAUCAGUGGACCAGAGUGGACGGUGGAGGUAGCAUAUCUAGGUGAGAGCAGCAGUGGGAAGAAACGCCAGGUUUUGAAGGGACACCCUUGGUUAGAGUGAACCGUACUCUUCACCUUCCUGGGAGCUGUUGGGCUAUGUCACAGGAUAUGUACCAGGUUUGGAUCCCAACAGGGUUGAGAUUCUGCCAUUUAUUCCAGGACUGACCCUGAGAUCUCACAUAUAAAAAUGAAGAAAAGGCACAAAUAAAACGCUUCAGGUUUAUGUACAGAUUGACUUCUGAACUAGAAUCUAAGUCCCAGGUAAGCAAGGACCUUGUCUUGUCCACUGUUCUCUCCCAGCACCUAACACAUAGUAGGCUUAGAGUAACUAUGUUUUAGCUGAAUAAGUAAAACAUCCAUCCCAGUGGUUUUCUGGGACGGUUCCUGACACAGAGUGGGUGCUAAGUCAUUUGAUCUGCUUCCCCAAUUGUUCUUGAACCCCUCAGCCAACAAGUACAGUAUAAAACUGCCUGCUCUCCGAAGAUUUACCUGGCCAAAAUGUUACUCCCCCCCCUUAAGGGAGUCCUCAGUGCCCACAGGGCAGUAAAGCAAAGUGGUCCUCUUCCCACCUCCGGGAGGGCAGGAGGACCAUAGCAUGUUUCUCUUCUCCCAGUCUAGGACUUCCAUUGAUGAUAAGAGCAACUGUUAAUUGACUGCCUACUUUAUUCCUCAAAUGAGCCUGCAUUUAAUGCUUCUAGCAUCCCUACGAGAAGUCUCUGACACUCGCUGGGCUUCAGUUUCUUCUUCUCUGGACUGGGAACACCCACUCCCUGUCUCCACCCCAACUUUGCAAUUCCACCUGCACACCCUUCUACCUCCACAAUACUGUCGUCCCAGAAGUCGAGUCUCACGGAUUUAACUUUGCUGAUGUCCGGGAAGUUGCGGUGGACGCCAGAGCAGUGGAGACAGAUGAAGAUUCCCAGCUUGUAAGAGGCCCAGUCGGGAUCUGCGGGGCAGGAGGGUAGCUGAGCAGAGCUGAGCCAAGAAACCAAAGCUGGACUGGGGCUCUGGGACAGAUAGGACCUGACAGGAUUCCGGAGGCUGUGGCCAGCUCUGCCUGUGCGGGGCUCCCCACCUUGGAACAGCUAAGUUACUAGCAUGAAAUGUGGUCGGCCCACCCGCCACCGCGGCGGCCACCAGGGUGACGAUCUUGGAGAGAUUCCAAGGGAUGGGGGCGAGGCCGAGGCGGGCGAGACGUGGAAGUGACAGAACUGAGGGGGAACUGAGAGGAGCACCGGGGAAGGACCGGCAGCCAAGCGACGGGCUGGGAGCUGCAAGUGGGCAGGUCGGAAUCACGGCUCCUCAGGUCUGAUCGCGGUGGAGAGGGAAAGGGAAAGAUCUCGGAGGCGUCCAGGGGAGGGACAGGGGACACAUGACCAUCAGGAGGCCUGGGGCUGAGGUCUAGGGCUCCUCGGUGAGUGAGAUGUUUGUAUCCAGAGCGCGGGAAGUGCCUAGGUCUCGAGGGAUGGCUCAGGGAGCUGGGUCCUGAGCCGUAGGGUGUCUGUGGUGGGGGCGGUGGACAGGAAGGUCAGGGUGCCCAGCUCCUGGAUGUAAUAUCGGGAGGGUCCCAGGACGUGGAAAGAUCCGCGUCCGGUCUGGAGUCGGGAGUCAGGAUCCUGCGUCCGGGUGGGAGGCUCACCGUCUGGAUGGACGGGAGUCCGGGUCCCAAAGCUCAAUAGGGGACAUUUCUGGGUCCUACGAAGAUAGAACCGGACCCGGUGUGCUCGUAGGGGAGAGUCUGGCUGGCCAACUCCGGAGCUGCACUUGCCCCGCGCGCCCCGCGCGCCCCGCGCCGCUGCGCCCUUACCCGCCGCCCCGCAGUCGGCGCAGUGCGCGUUGCCGGGGCCCGCAGCCUGCAGCAGCUCCAGAAGCCGCUUCUUGUUGCGCUCGCUGUCGCCCAUGGCGGGCGGGGCGGGCUCAGCAGGGCUCAGCCCGGCCGCCUCCGGGCCCGCGGCCGCCCAUGACCAGUGCGCUAGUCCCCACCGUCGAAAAGGACCCAGCCCGCCGCCUCUCCAGCUCCGCCCCUCCAGGGCCUCUGCCCCGCCCUCGGCCGGGCCAGUCCCGCCCCUCCCCUCCACAGGUGGGGAGGGGCAAGAACACCAGACUUUGAGUCGUUGCCCUGGAGCAAGAUCAACUUUUGGCCCGCCACUUCCUAGCUGCAAGACUGUGGACAAUAAUGUUCAGCCUCUUUGGGCCUCAGGUUCCACCGCUAUAGUGGAAGAAUAAGGGCAUAUGUCCACAUCUUGGGGCUCCUUGGAAAACUUAAACAGAACCUAACUUUUGUUAGGAUCUUACAUCUAUUUCGGCACAUAGGUAUAUUGCAAACAUCACCUUCUCAAGAAACCCUUCUUACUACCCAGUAUCAAAGAGUCUCUCCAGCUUCUGGUCCUUCUAGAACUCUAUGAUAGGAUUUGUUCAUCCCCUUUGGCCCUGGGCACUUUCUGUCCACCUUGCACCAUAGUGAUACAUACUUGGGUUAAUUCCACGAGUCUUCACUAGUGAGCUGGAUAUCAGCAGUGUUAUUCCUGUAUCUCUUUUAUCUCGUAGAAAUGGCACCCGCACAUUUUUUGGAAAUCGAAAAAUAAUUGCAUGACUGUGUUCACCAGGAACUGAACCACCUGGACAUAGCAGGGUCCUGUCAAGUUCCAUCACCAUAAGGUGUGGGCAGGGCUUAGAUGGUCUUGAACAUGAACAUUUCAUUACCCCCCCACACCUUUUUAAUUUUAACCCAGGGAUAUUCAACCUCUGAGCCAUAUCCCCAGCCCCUUUUUUAUAUUUUAUUUAGAGAUAGGGUCUCAAUAAGUUGCUUAGGGCCUCACUAAAUUGCUGAGGUUGGCUUUGAACUUGCAAUCCUCCUGCCUCAGCCUCCUGUGCCACUGGAUUACUGGCAUGUGCCACGGAGCUUGGCCUUCUCUUCUUGAUACCAUCCUCAGACACUCAUCUGCCUCCUGGUAAAAUGCAUACUGUGUGUACUUGACAUCUCCUUUGUUGGUAACAUCCAUCUAUGGCAUGCAUAUGGCUUAAUGCACAUGAUGCUCGAUUUCCAUCCUGAUGAAUGGACUGAAGCUGAUAUUGUAGCUGACCUGCCCACACCCACAUUCAAAAUAUACACAUACACGUACAUACACACACCAUAAUAUAAUGGAACCAAUCAAAGAAUACACAAAUUCAGGUUUGAAUAUUGGCUCUAUCACCUGCUGUUUGUCCUUGGACAAGCUUUUUCACUUCUCUGAGCCUUGGACUCCUCAUGGGUAAAAGGAGAAUUUUGAGAUCUGCCUGCCUAUUCGGGUCUUUGAAAUGACACACAGUGUUCUCAAAACACAGUGGUUCCCUUGCUUCCCUUGCCCUCCUGGCCAGCUUGUGUUAUUGUCAUCUGGAAUGCUAUGUGUCAUUUCCCAUCAUCCCCAGCGCAGAGGAGGUCAAGCCACCAGGCCCAGAGGACAAACAUUCUGAAGAACAACCAGCCAUGAGGGUAUUGACUGGAGCAGCCACAGGGUGCUGGGAGAGCCGGCUGGGGUCAGGAGUAAGAGGCUGUUUACUAAACAAGCCGAGAGAUGAUUCAUUUCCUCUGCUUUAGAUGAAAAAAGAGACAGAAAUACAUCUCCCAGGAGAAGGAUGGGAAAGGCAACCUAUGGUAGGAAGGCAGAGGGAGGGGGAACAGGAAAGAAAAAGGGCUCAAGCCAAGGACAUUUGUGUUCUGUCCAAUGCCAGAGCAAAAUUAUGAUGCUGAGAUGUUCUCCUCUGGCACCUUGACUCUCACUGUCUCCUCCCUGGAAGCCCCCCAGAACCAACCCAAAGAAAAUAUGGCAUCUCAUUCCCAGUAAGGAGCCGGAGAUUGAGAGGUCUCCUUCCUUUCCCCUCUUCCUUGCCUUAUUUUUGGAUGUUUCCAUGUAACACGAAUAAAAGCCUUAAGGAGGAAUUUCAGUCAUCCAUAGAGGAAAAGAAAAAAAAAAAAAGAGUACUUUGGUAUUGUAUUUGUGAUAGGUUUCUUUCCUUCCUUCUUCCUUUUUGUUUGGGGCCCGUGGGAGAUAACCCUAAUUGAUACUUCUUGGGUAUUUUGCAGAAGAGUUCCACAGCAUCUGAUCUGUUAGUGCUCCCUGAUCACCCACCGAGGGCAGCAUGGAUUUAUGCCAUUUUGCAGAAGAGAAAGCUGAGGCUUACAGGAGUUAAGUUUUUCAAGGUCCUGAAGUCAAAUAAGAAGCAGAACAGAAACCUAAAUCCAGGUCUCCUAUCAUGGUGUUGUUUAGUCCAGGUUAUUUCUUGAAACCUCUCUUUUAGUCUUCUCAUUAUGGAUUUUUUGGGUUUACUUUUGUAUGUAUUUAAUGUACGCAAUAUGUUUAUGUAUUCAAUAUACAUAUACACUGUGUAAUGAUUAUCACAAAGAACAUACCCAUCACCACCAAGGUUGUACAUUCAUCCCCAGAAAUUGCUCAUCUUUUUUUAUAUUAUUUUUUCUUUUAGUUGUAGUUGGACACAAUACCUUUUUUUUUUUUAAUUUAUUUUUAUGUGGUGCUGAGGAUUGAACCCAGGGUCUUACACGUGUGAGGCGAGCACUCUACUACUGAGCUACAGUCCCAGCUCCAGAAAUUGCUCAUCUUAUAACUGAAAGUUUGUACCCCAUUUUUUAUUGAUUUUUUAAUAUAUGACAGCAGAAUGCAUUACAAUUCAUAUUACACAUAUAGAGCACAUUUUUUCAUAUCUCUGGUUGUAUAUAAAGUACAUUCACACCAAUUUGUGUCUUCAUACAUGUAUUUUGGAUAAUAAUGUUCAUCACAUUCCACCAUCAUUUCUAACCCCCUGCCCCCUCCCUUCCCCUUCCACCCCUUUGCCCUAUCUGGAGUUCGUCUAUUCCUCCCAUGCUCCCACUCCCUACCCCACUAUGUGUACCCUUUUUAAAAAUAUAUAUAUAUAUUUUUUGU